rnacentral:rRNA from 1 species
AGUGAACGCUGGCGGUAGGCCUAACACAUGCAAGUCGAACGGCAGCACAGUAAGAGCUUGCUCUUACGGGUGGCGAGUGGCGGACGGGUGAGGAAUACAUCGGAAUCUACUUUUUCGUGGGGGAUAACGUAGGGAAACUUACGCUAAUACCGCAUACGACCUACGGGUGAAAGCAGGGGAUCUUCGGACCUUGCGCGAUUGAAUGAGCCGAUGUCGGAUUAGCUAGUUGGCGGGGUAAAGGCCCACCAAGGCGACGAUCCGUAGCUGGUCUGAGAGGAUGACCAGCCAACCGGGAAUGGAGCAACGGUCCAGCCCCCUACGGGAGGCAGCAGGGGGGAAUUUUGGAAAAUGGGCGAAAGCCUGAUCCAGCCAUACCGGGGGGGUGAAGAAGGCCUUCGGGUUGUAAAGCCCUUUUGUGGGGAAAAAAAAGCAGCAGGUUAAUACCCCGCUGUUCUGACGGUACCCAAAAAAUAAGCACCGGCUAACUUCGU